rnacentral:rRNA from 1 species
UGAUGACGAGACGCUAAGGCGUUGAAGCAGUGUAUGUCAGACUUCCAAGAAAAGCUCGCAAUGUCACAAAUAAAGAAUGCCUGUACCAUAACCGACACAGGUGGGUAGGUAGAGUAAACUAAGGGGCGCGAGAUAACUCUCUCUAAGGAACUCGGCAAAAUGACUCCGUAACUUCGGGAGAAGGAGUGCCUUAUUUAUAAGGUUGCAAUAACAAGAUCCAAGCAACUGUUUAUCAAAAACACAGGUCUCCGCUAAGUCGUAAGACGAUGUAUGGGGGCUGACGCCUGCCCAGUGCCAGAAGGUUAAAGAAGUUGGUUAGUGUAUGCGAAGCUGAUGACUGAAGCCCUGGUGAACGGCGGCCGUAACGAUAACGGUCCUAAGGUAGCGAAAUUCCUUGUCGGGUAAGUUCCGACCCGCACGAAAGGCGUAAUGAUUUGGAUACUGUCUCGGAGAGAGGCUCGGUGAAAUAGACUUGUCUGUGAAGAUGCGGACUACCUGCACCAGGACAGAAAGACCCUAUGAAGCUUUACUGUAACUUGAAAUUGGAAUUGGACUUUGCUUGCGCAGUAUAGGUGGGAAGCGUUGAAAAUAUUCUUGCGGGAGUAUUGGAGCUAUCAGUGAGAUACCACUCUUGUAAUGUUAGAUUUCUAACUUUGAACCAUAAUCUGGUCAAAGAACAGUUUCAGGUGGGCAGUUUGACUGGGGCGGUCGCCUCCCAAAUGGUAACGGAGGCGUACAAAGGUUUCCUCUGAACGGAUAGAAAUCGUAUCUAGAGUGUAAAGGCAUAAGGAAGCUUGACUGUGAGACCUACAAGUCGAGCAGGGACGAAAGUCGGUCUUAGUGAUCUGACGGUACUGAGUGGAAAGGCCGUCACUCAACGGAUAAAAGUUACUCUAAGGAUAACAGGCUGAUCUCCCCCAAGAGUUCACAUCGACGGGGAGGUUUGGCACCUCGAUGUCGGCUCAUCGCAUCCUGGGGCGGUAGUACGUCCCAAGGGUUGGGCUGUUCGCCCAUGAAAGCGGUACGCGAGCUGGGUUCAGAACGUCGUGAGACAGUUCGGUCCAUAUCCGGUGUAGGCGCUAGAAUAUUGAGAGGAGCCUUCUUUAGUACGAGAGGACCGAGAAGGACACACCGCUGGUGUACCAGUUAUCGUGCCAACGGUAAACGCUGGGUAGCUAUGUGUGGAGUGGAUAACCGCUGAAAGCAUCUAAGUGGGAAGCCCACCUCGAGAUGAGUAUUCCC